GGAGGCGUGGCCGAGUGGUUGAUGGCGCUGGUCUUGAAAACCAGUAUAGCCGCAAGGUUAUCGAGGGUUCGAAUCCUUCCGCCUCCG
rnacentral:tRNA from 1 species